rnacentral:rRNA from 1 species
CCAAUAGCGUAUUUUAAAGUUGUUGCAGUUAAAAAGCUCGUAGUUGAAUUUCGGGAUCAGUACGCCGGUCGUGCCUUCGGUAUGCACUGGUGUCACUGAUUCCCCCCUUCUGAAGAACCGUUAUGCCAUUUAUUUGGUGUGGCGGGGAAUCAGGACUGUUACUUUGAAAAAAUUAGAGUGUUUAAAGCAGGCUCGCGCUUGAAUACAUUAGCAUGGAAUAAUGAAAUAGGACGUUUGAUCAUAUUUUGUUGGUUUCUAGGAUCGACGUAAUGAUUAAUAGGGAUAGUUGGGGGCAUUAGUAUUCAAUUGUCAGAGGUGAAAUUCUUGGAUUUAUUGAAGACUAACUACUGCGAAAGCAUUUGCCAAGGAUGUUUUCAUUAAUCAAGAACGAAAGUUAGGGGAUCGAAGACNAUCANNNNCCGNNGUAGUCUUAACCAUAAACUAUGCCGACUAGGGAUCGGAUGAUGUUAAUUUUUUAAUGACUCAUUCGGCGCCUUACG